rnacentral:rRNA from 1 species
UACGGGGGGGGCAAGCGUUGUUCGGAAUUACUGGGCGUAAAGGGCCAGUAGGCGGCCGGCUAAGUCCGACGUGAAAUCCCCAGGCUUAACUUGGGAACUGCGUCGGAUACUGGUUGGCUUGAAUUCGGGAGAGGGAUGCAGAAUUCCAGGUGUAGCGGUGAAAUGCGUAGAUAUCUGGAGGAAUACCGGUGGCGAAGGCGGCAUCCUGGACCGACAUUGACGCUGAACGGCGAAAGCUAGGGAGCAAACGGG